UGGGGAAUAUUGCACAAUGGAGGGAACUCUGAUGCAGCGACGCCGCGUGAACGAAGAAGGCUUUCGAGUUGUAAAGUUCUUUUAUAUGGGAAGAUAAUGACGGUACCAUAAGAAGAAGCCCCGGCUAACUACGUGCCAGCAGCCGCGGUAAUACGUAGGGGGCGAGCGUUGUCCGGAAUCACUGGGCGUAAGGGGUUCGCAGGCGGAAAUGCAAGUCAGGUGUAAAAGGCAGUACCUUAACUACAGUAAGCAUUUGAACAUGCAUAUCUUGAGAAGAGUAGAGGUAAGUGGAAUUUUUAGUGUAGCGGUGAAAUGCGUAGCUAUUAAAAAGAAUACCGGUGGCGAAGGCGACUUACUGGGCUCAUUCUGACGCUGAGGAACACAAGCGUGGGUAGCAAACAGG
rnacentral:rRNA from 1 species